rnacentral:rRNA from 1 species
AGAGUUUGAUCCUGGCUCAGAUUGAACGCUGGCGGCAUGCCUUACACAUGCAAGUCGAACGGCAGCACGAGAGCUUGCUCUUGGUGGCGAGUGGCGAACGGGUGAGUAAUAUAUCGGAACGUACCCUAGAGUGGGGGAUAACGUAGCGAAAGUUACGCUAAUACCGCAUACGAUCUACGGAUGAAAGUGGGGGAUCGCAAGACCUCAUGCUCAUGGAGCGGCCGAUAUCUGAUUAGCUAGUUGGUGGGGUAAAAGCUCACCAAGGCGACGAUCAGUAGCUGGUCUGAGAGGACGACCAGCCACACUGGAACUGAGACACGGUCCAGACUCCUACGGGAGGCAGCAGUGGGGAAUUUUGGACAAUGGGCGCAAGCCUGAUCCAGCAAUGCCGCGUGAGUGAAGAAGGCCUUCGGGUUGUAAAGCUCCUUUGUCAGGGAAGAAACGGUGGACUCUAAUACAGAUCACUAAUGACGGUACCUGAAGAAUAAGCACCGGCUAACUACGUGCCAGCAGCCGCGGUAAUACGUAGGGUGCAAGCGUUAAUCGGAAUUACUGGGCGUAAAGCGUGCGCAGGCGGUUGUGCAAGACAGAUGUGAAAUCCCCGGGCUCAACCUGGGAAUUGCAUUUGUGACUGCACGGCUAGAGUGUGUCAGAGGGGGGUAGAAUUCCACGUGUAGCAGUGAAAUGCGUAGAGAUGUGGAGGAAUACCGAUGGCGAAGGCAGCCCCCUGGGAUAACACUGACGCUCAUGCACGAAAGCGUGGGGAGCAAACAGGAUUAGAUACCCUGGUAGUCCACGCCCUAAACGAUGUCUACUAGUUGUCGGGUCUUAAUUGACUUGGUAACGCAGCUAACGCGUGAAGUAGACCGCCUGGGGAGUACGGUCGCAAGAUUAAAACUCAAAGGAAUUGACGGGGACCCGCACAAGCGGUGGAUGAUGUGGAUUAAUUCGAUGCAACGCGAAAAACCUUACCUACCCUUGACAUGUCUGGAAUCCUUGAGAGAUCAGGGAGUGCUCGAAAGAGAAUCAGAACACAGGUGCUGCAUGGCUGUCGUCAGCUCGUGUCGUGAGAUGUUGGGUUAAGUCCCGCAACGAGCGCAACCCUUGUCAUUAGUUGCUACGAAAGGGCACUCUAAUGAGACUGCCGGUGACAAACCGGAGGAAGGUGGGGAUGACGUCAAGUCCUCAUGGCCCUUAUGGGUAGGGCUUCACACGUCAUACAAUGGUACAUACAGAGGGCCGCCAACCCGCGAGGGGGAGCUAAUCCCAGAAAGUGUAUCGUAGUCCGGAUUGUAGUCUGCAACUCGACUACAUGAAGUUGGAAUCGCUAGUAAUCGCGGAUCAGCAUGUCGCGGUGAAUACGUUCCCGGGUCUUGUACACACCGCCCGUCACACCAUGGGAGCGGGUUUCACCAGAAGUGGGUAGCCUAACCGCAAGGAGGGCGCUCACCACGGUGGGAUUCGUGACUGGGGUGAAGUCGUAACAAGGUA